rnacentral:lncRNA from 1 species
AAAUAGUCCACUUCAGAAAUUCACCCAUGAGUACCUAGAUGUCAACUAACUAUCAUUCAUUUGCAACUACACGUUAACUAACUCUCAUUAGAGAGUUGGUAGACUGUAGCCUGGUUAGGGUAGGUUUAGGGUUAGGGUUAGUGGAAUAAACAGACAUGCACUUGCAAAGUCAAUUAUAGUUAGUAGCAUGUCUGUUGAAAGUCUAUUAAAAAAAAUGCUAAUCAUACUAUUCUAGUAUGUAAGCUAACUAAAACAGGUAUUAAUAAAGCAAUAAGCUAAGGUUUUCAGGGAAUAAAACAUCUAAUAAGCAUUGUUAGGCAUGAUGCUGAGCGGCAGCUGCAGUGAUGCAAUGACUUUAUCAACUGGCGAUUAACUCUUUUAUUUAGAAGGUGGGCCACCAUAGUCCUGUUACUAGAACCACCAUUGUUUCUCCCAUACAUAGGAUGAUUUUCAGUCAUCCUUCCUUUACUAGUCCUUCUGAGGCUUGUAUGCUACGAAAAGCAUGCUAAAGGAUGCUUUUCAAGGAUCAUUCAAAUUGAGCUGAAGAAAUGGAAACCAAGAUAUGCAGCCUUACUAGGAUGUACAUUUCCAAUUAAGAAGCAACCCAUAGUAAUACUAUGUAUUGUUCAUUUCUAUAAUAAGUAUAAUAGGGAAGAGAUUCACAGUUAAGGGGGGAGUAUUGGUUCAGUGAAGACUCACCGAUGUUUGAUUGCACAUUGCUGAAGGAUGGCCUAAAAGAGCAUUGCAGUAGUGACAAGAGCCUGGGUAAAGACUUGUGCAACAUGCUUUGAUAAGAUGGGAUAUAUCAAGCAAAUCUGCAUGACUGGUGAUAUUUGCGAUGUCUUUACAAUUCAGCUGUUUGUCAAACAUAUCUGUUGUGAUUGUUUUGGAGUCUAGCUGCUUUAUAGAACAUUUGAUUAUUAAAAUGAAUGUCAUUUCUUUCCUCAGGCAAACAUCCCUGAUGUUGAGAAGGUUUCAGUCAUUGGUCGAACAGAGACUGAAUUAACAUUUCAAUGGAAAGUUGAAAACAGCAGUUACAGUUAUAAACUGGCAACAAAUGUCAUUGGAGACAUUCCAAUCAAUGCAUCAGAAGCUGAAUAUUUAAACUAUACAGUCUCACCUCUGUCUCCUGGGACUAACUACUCUUUCACACUCUACACUGUGUUUGAGAAUUAUACAAGCAAAGGAUUUUACUUUUCUAAUGUAACCACUCCAUCUAAUGUUAACAGUGUUUCAGUCAUCGAUCGGAAAGAAAAUCAGAUAACAUUACAAUGGAGUAAAGUCAACAACAGCAAUGAUUACGGUUAUGAGCUAUACUGGAACGAAGAAAACUCUUCAAUACCUAUAUCACAAACUAAUACAGUGGAAUAUAACGUCACGUCUCUGGAUGCUGGGACAGAAUACUUCUUUACGCUCUACACUGUGUUUGGACAUGUAAUGAGCAGUGGAUACAGCUUCACCAAUGUAACCAUGCCAUCUAAUGUUCAAGAUGUGAAUGUGAAGCUCAAUGACACCGAAAUGAUCUUACAAUGGGAUGUUGUAUCAAACACAAACAACAACACUUACACAUAUACUCUUGAAAACAAAGAUGAACUAACAGUGAAUUGCACUAAUCAAACUGCGGAAGGAAAUGAGGUAACAUGUCAUAUAUCAGAUUUGACGCCUGCAACAAAUUACAGCUUCACUCUGUACAAAAAUUGAUCACAUAGACA